GCACGCGUUGCACGCGACGUGUGUCCCGUGCCCAUGCCGUGCCCAGCCCGCUGCACCCUUAUCCCUUCGUCCAGGUUCCUCACUCCCUCCUCUCCUUCCCAGACCACGCCGGCCCUUCCUGCUCGCCACCGCAGCCCGCCAUGGCCGCCAAGAUCCACUCGGCGGUGAAAUCCUACUUCCGGUCAUCAUCUUCGACAACCAAAGUCUAGAAUCGACUUUCCUCGACUCACUGAAGCUCAUGCUCUCCUCGUUCCAGUGCGUUCCGCGAGUUUCCGCGCUCGUUCUCGAGCCAUGUCGCCGCCGGCAUGCUGCUGCUCGCCGCGAGCCGCGUGCACGCGCCCCUGUGCUGGGCCGCCGAGCGCCCCCACUCCGCCCGGCCUUGCUGAAUCCUUCCAUGGCCGCCCCAUCGUCCUCCCUCGCUGGAGCGCCGCCGCACGCCGCCAUCCCCGCCGCCGAGGUGCUGCUACCUCCGCCGGCGCCUCUCCGGUCGCCCCAACCCCAACAAGCCCACCUGCAGGUACGAUAGAUGAACCACGUGAAGGAAGUGAUAUUGGAACCGAACACGAAGACGAUGUUUGGUGGACAUAUCCAGAUUGUUGGUGAAAUUGAACUCAGUGAUGGCAUGGUUGCCAUACAACAUAAUGAACACACUGGAGAAAUACAAAAUGAGAGUUACAACGGGAUGGGUGAUAAAAACAACUCAGAAGGGAACGUGACAUCUGUUCAAGGCAAUGAAGGAAAUCAUAGACAGAGAGAAGAGCCAUAUGCAAAUAAUAUCGGUGAUGCCAUUGCCCUUGUUAGGAGAUCCAUAAACCAGCUCACACGGUCGCAGGGGAAGUCGGUCUGGUUGCUUGCUUACAUUGCUGUUGUAACGUCUUGGCCGUUGCUUGGGACCCUAAGUUUUUUCCUUUUUAGGAAACGGUUUAGUAAUUCUCUUUUAUCUAAGAAGCUGAAGAAACUGUAAACAUUGCACGUACACAAAUGUGUUUCUUCUGGAACACGUCAAAUCCUUAUAACAUCCAUUAAUACAUGUAUGUAUGCAUCAAUCCAUGGUAAUAAAAGAUCCAGCUGAGACAUAA